rnacentral:rRNA from 1 species
UUAAGCGACUAAGCGUACACGGUGGAUGCCCUGGCAGUCAGAGGCGAUGAAGGGCGUGCUAAUCUGCGAUAAGCGCCGGUAAGGUGAUAUGAACCGUUAUAACCGGCGAUACCCGAAUGGGGAAACCCAGUGUGAUUCGUCACACUAUCAUUAACUGAAUCCAUAGGUUAAUGAGGCGAACCGGGGGAACUGAAACAUCUAAGUACCCCGAGGAAAAGAAAUCAACCGAGAUUCCCCCAGUAGCGGCGAGCGAACGGGGAGGAGCCCAGAGCCUGAAUCAGCAUGUGUGUUAGUGGAAGCGUCUGGAAAGGCGCGCGAUACAGGGUGACAGCCCCGUACACAAAAGCGCAUGUGCUGUGAGCUCGAUGAGUAGGGCGGGACACGUGGUAUCCUGUCUGAAUAUGGGGGGACCAUCCUCCAAGGCUAAAUACUCCUGACUGACCGAUAGUGAACCAGUACCGUGAGGGAAAGGCGAAAAGAACCCCGGCGAGGGGAGUGAAAAAGAACCUGAAACCGUGUACGUACAAGCAGUGGGAGCCCCACCACCAAAGCGUUUCGCUUUGUGUGGUGCACAAAGAAGCGUAACGACAGCACUGAAUGACGGUUAACGGAGCGCAAGCGACGUUCAACAUACAAAGUCAAGCAGUGGAGCGCUUUGGGGUGGGGUGACUGCGUACCUUUUGUAUAAUGGGUCAGCGACUUAUAUUCUGUAGCAAGGUUAACCGAAUAGGGGAGCCGGAGGGAAACCGAGUCUUAAUUGGGCGUUAAGUUGCAGGGUAUAGACCCGAAACCCGGUGAUCUAGCCAUGGGCAGGUUGAAGGUUGGGUAACACUAACUGGAGGACCGAACCGACUAAUGUUGAAAAAUUAGCGGAUGACCUGUGGCUGGGGGUGAAAGGCCAAUCAAACCGGGAGAUAGCUGGUUCUCCCCGAAAGCUAUUUAGGUAGCGCCUCGUGAAUUCAUCUCCGGGGGUAGAGCACUGUUUCGGCUAGGGGGCCAUCCCGGCUUACCAACCCGAUGCAAACUGCGAAUACCGGAGAAUGUUAUCACGGGAGACACACGGCGGGUGCUAACGUCCGUCGUGAAGAGGGAAACAACCCAGACCGCCAGCUAAGGUCCCAAAGUCAUGGUUAAGUGGGAAACGAUGUGGGAAGGCCCAGACAGCCAGGAUGUUGGCUUAGAAGCAGCCAUCAUUUAAAGAAAGCGUAAUAGCUCACUGGUCGAGUCGGCCUGCGCGGAAGAUGUAACGGGGCUAAACCAUGCACCGAAGCUGCGGCAGCGACGCUUAUGCGUUGUUGGGUAGGGGAGCGUUCUGUAAGCCUGUGAAGGUGGCCUGUGAGGGUUGCUGGAGGUAUCAGAAGUGCGAAUGCUGACAUAAGUAACGAUAAAGCGGGUGAAAAGCCCGCUCGCCGGAAGACCAAGGGUUCCUGUCCAACGUUAAUCGGGGCAGGGUGAGUCGACCCCUAAGGCGAGGCCGAAAGGCGUAGUCGAUGGGAAACGGGUUAAUAUUCCCGUACUUGGUGUUACUGCGAAGGGGGGACGGAGAAGGCUAUGUUGGCCGGGCGACGGUUGUCCCGGUUUAAGCGUGUAGGUGUGUGUUCCAGGUAAAUCCGGUUCACUUUAACACUGAGGCGUGAUGACGAGGCACUACGGUGCUGAAGCAACAAAUGCCCUGCUUCCAGGAAAAGCCUCUAAGCAUCAGGUAACAUCAAAUCGUACCCCAAACCGACACAGGUGGUCAGGUAGAGAAUACCAAGGCGCUUGAGAGAACUCGGGUGAAGGAACUAGGCAAAAUGGUGCCGUAACUUCGGGAGAAGGCACGCUGACACGUAGGUGAAGUGAUUUACUCAUGGAGCUGAAGUCAGUCGAAGAUACCAGCUGGCUGCAACUGUUUAUUAAAAACACAGCACUGUGCAAACACGAAAGUGGACGUAUACGGUGUGACGCCUGCCCGGUGCCGGAAGGUUAAUUGAUGGGGUCAGCGCAAGCGAAGCUCCUGAUCGAAGCCCCGGUAAACGGCGGCCGUAACUAUAACGGUCCUAAGGUAGCGAAAUUCCUUGUCGGGUAAGUUCCGACCUGCACGAAUGGCGUAAUGAUGGCCAGGCUGUCUCCACCCGAGACUCAGUGAAAUUGAACUCGCUGUGAAGAUGCAGUGUACCCGCGGCAAGACGGAAAGACCCCGUGAACCUUUACUAUAGCUUGACACUGAACAUUGAGCCUUGAUGUGUAGGAUAGGUGGGAGGCUUUGAAGCGUGGACGCCAGUCUGCGUGGAGCCGACCUUGAAAUACCACCCUUUAAUGUUUGAUGUUCUAACGUGGACCCGUGACCCGGGUUGCGGACAGUGUCUGGUGGGUAGUUUGACUGGGGCGGUCUCCUCCUAAAGAGUAACGGAGGAGCACGAAGGUUGGCUAAUCCUGGUCGGACAUCAGGAGGUUAGUGCAAUGGCAUAAGCCAGCUUGACUGCGAGCGUGACGGCGCGAGCAGGUGCGAAAGCAGGUCAUAGUGAUCCGGUGGUUCUGAAUGGAAGGGCCAUCGCUCAACGGAUAAAAGGUACUCCGGGGAUAACAGGCUGAUACCGCCCAAGAGUUCAUAUCGACGGCGGUGUUUGGCACCUCGAUGUCGGCUCAUCACAUCCUGGGGCUGAAGUAGGUCCCAAGGGUAUGGCUGUUCGCCAUUUAAAGUGGUACGCGAGCUGGGUUUAGAACGUCGUGAGACAGUUCGGUCCCUAUCUGCCGUGGGCGCUGGAGAACUGAGGGGGGCUGCUCCUAGUACGAGAGGACCGGAGUGGACGCAUCACUGGUGUUCGGGUUGUCAUGCCAAUGGCACUGCCCGGUAGCUAAAUGCGGAAGAGAUAAGUGCUGAAAGCAUCUAAGCACGAAACUUGCCCCGAGAUGAGUUCUCCCUGAGACUUAGAGUCUCCUGAAGGAACGUUGAAGACGACGACGUUGAUAGGCCGGGUGUGUAAGCGCAGCGAUGCGUUGAGCUAACCGGUACUAAUGAACCGUGAGGCUUAACCUU